rnacentral:lncRNA from 1 species
AUGAAACACUUGAACCCUGAAGCCACCGGCCCAGACCACAGCACACCACUGACCACUGGAGGAGAAGGGGGAGAGACAGACAGGGGAGCCAGGGGCGCAUGUCAUCACAGGUUGAUGACGUCAUCAAAUGGAGAAACGGCAGUGACCUCCACGCAACCCGCUGACCCUGUGACCUUCACCCCGCUCCCCCACACAUGGCACAUCAGUAGAAGGGGUGGGCAGGAGUAUGACAAACACACACAUACAGGAACACAAAGACAGACAGACACACACAUACAGGAACACAAAGACAGACAGACACACACAUACAGGAACACAAAGCCAGACAAACACACACAUACAGGAACACAAAGCCAGACAGACACACACAUACAGGAACACAAAGCCAGACAGACACACACAGACAGGACCACAAAGCCAGACAAAGACACACAAACAGGAACACAAAGCCAGACAAACACACACAGACAGGACCACAAAGCCAGACAGACACACAGAUAGAAGAACCCAAAGCUAGACAGACACACAGAUACAAGAAAACAUAGCCAGACAAACACACAGAUACAAAAACACAAAGCCAGACAGACACACAGAUAGAAGAACACAAAGCCAGACAGACACACAGAUACAAGAAAACAAAGCCAGACAAACACACAGAUACAAAAACACAAAGCCAGACAGACACUCUCAACCGCAUUCUUUGUAUGCCUGACCCUCUCUAAAAAUGACUACUGGAAACAAUAAGGGCUUUUCUGGGACUGCAUUGCACUGAUGAUGCGAAUACAUGCCAAAUGACCCUAAAUGAAUAUAUCAAUAUUAUUUAUCUACAGAUUUGCUCCAAUUACUCCAUAAAUCUCUUGGAGGACCUGAGUCCCUGGACCAUGCCUGAUGACUACCUGGCCUGACAACUCACAACCGACCUGGCCCACUGUCAGCGUUAUUGCCCACCUGGCCAUCCCUGUCCUUGUCCACCUGAUUCUGCAGCUGAUCUGGACACAGCCCAGUCUUUCCGCAGAAUACAGAAUCUUUGCAUUCAUAGAACCGCUGGUCACAUGAACAGAGAAAAAUAUUAAUGGGGCCCAAAAAAGGUGAUGUCUUGGAGGGACGAGAAGGGUGCUAUAUAGCCUGUGGGAUCAAUUUUAUCAAACCCAACACAAUGGUCAUGUGGUAGCACUGUAGGUUUGAGUGUAUGUCAACAAUGUUUGUGCAAUGUUCAUGACGUAAACUAGGGGGGUGGGGGUUGUGCGCUUUCAUUAUGAUACUCCUGUUCCUGUCGUCUUGUUCAUUUCAUUUGCAAAACAACAAAGCACACACCAUCAUCUCUACCAUAUCUGUUUGUGUGUUCAUUACAUUAGAAAAUUAAGGUUUCAAAAACAGCCUGUAAUUGAACCCAGAAACGCUGAUGCUGAAGAUACUGAACUAGCCUGAAGAAGGUCAGUUUUAUUGCUUCUUCAAUCAGCCCAACAGUUUUCAGCGUUACUAACAUAAUCGUAAAAGGGUUUUCUAAUGAUCAAUUAGCCUUUUAAAAUGACUAACUUGGAUUAGCAAACACAAUGGGCCAUUGGAACACAGGACUGAUGGUUGCUGAUAAUGGGCCUCGGUGCACAUACAGUUGUGUUCAUAUGUUUGCAUACCCUGGCAGAAAUUGAAGAUUUUGAAAAUAUGACUGAAAAUGCAAAAAAAAUGUCUUAUAUUUAGCGAUAGUGAUCAUAUGAAGCCAUUUAUGAUCAUAUAGUUGUUUGGCUCCUUUAUAAAUCAUAAUGAUAACAGAAAUCACCCAAAUGGCCCUGAUCAAAAGUUCACAUACCCUUGAAUGUUUGGCCUUGUUACAGACACACAAGGUGACACACACAGGUGAAAAUGGCAAUUAAAGUGUGAAUUUCCAACAUUUUCCCACCUUUUUCCCCCACCUUGUGGCUUUUUAAAUUGCAAUUAGUGUCUGUGUAUAAAUAGUCUAUGUGUUUUUUAGCUCUCACGUGGAUGCACUGAGCAGGCUAGAGCCAUGGGGAGCAGAAAAUAACUGUCAAAAGACCUGUGUAACAAGGUAGCAGAACAUUAUAAAGAUGGAAAAGGAUAUGAAAAGCCUUGCAAAUGCCAGUCAGUACUGUUCAAUCACUUAUUAAAGAGUGGAAAAUUCAGGGAUCUCUUGAUACCAAGCCAAGGUCAGGUAGACCAAAGAAAAAUUUCAGCCAAAUCUGCCAGAAGAAUUGUUUGGGAUUCAAAGAAAAACUCACAGGUAACCUCAGGAAAGAUACAGGCUGCUCUGGACAAAGACAGUGUGGUUGUUUCAAGGUGCACAAUACCUGGUUACAAUAUGCCCGACAACAGCUUGACAUGCCCACAGCUUCUGGCACACUGUAAUUUGGAGUGAUGAGACCAAAAUAGAGCUUUAUGUUUGGAGAGGGGUCAACAAGGCCUAUAGUGAACAGAAUACCAUCCGCACUGUGAAGCAUGGUGGUGGAUCAUUGAUGUUUUGUGUGUGUGUGAGCUCUAAAGGCAUGGGGAAUCUUGUUAAAAUUGAUAGUAAGAUGAAUGCAGCAUGUUAUCAGAAAAUACUGACCAGACAAUUUGCAUUCUUCUGAAAAAAAGCUGCGCAUGGGACGCUCUUGGACUUUCCAGCACGACAAUGACCCUAACCACAAGGCCAAGUUGACCCUCCAGUGGUUACAGCAGAAAAAAGUUCUGGAGUGGCCAUCACAGUCUCCUGACCGUAAAUUUCAUCAAGCCACUCUGAGGAGAUGUCAUAGAAGACGACCAAAGACUUUGCAUGACCUGGAGGCAUUUUGCCAAGACAAAUGGGCCGCUAUACCACCUGAAAGAAUUCUGGGCCUCAUAGGCAACUACACUCACCUAAAGGAUUAUUAGUAACACCUGUUCAAUUUCUCAUUAAUGCAAUUAUCUAAUCAACCAAUCACAUGGCAGUUGCUUCAAUGCAUUUAGAGGUGUGGUCCUGGUCAAGACAAUCUCCUGAACUCCAAACUGAAUGUCAGAAUGGGAAAGAAAGGUGAUUUAAGCAAUUUUGAGCGUGGCAUGGUUGUUGGUGCCAGACGGUCUGAGUAUUUCACAAUCUGCUCAGUUACUGGGAUUUCCACGCACAACCAUUUCUAGGGUUUACAAAGAAUAGCGUGAAAAGGGAAAAACAUCCAGUAUGCGGCAGUCCUGUGGGCGAAAAUGCCUUGUUGAUGCUAGAGGUCACAGGAUAAUGGGCCGACUGAUUCAAGCUGAUAGAAGAGCAACUUUGACUGAAAUAACCACUCGUUACAACCAAGCUUUGCAGCAAAGCAUUUGUGAAGCCACAACACGCACAACAGCAGAAGACCCCACCGGGUACCACUCAUCUCCACUACAAAUAGGACAAAGAGGCUACAAUUUGCACAAGCUCACCAAAAUUGGACAGUUGAAGACUGGAAGAAUGUUGCCUGGUCUGAUGAGUCUUGAUUUCUGUUGAGAUAUUCAGAUGGUAGAGUCAGAAUUUGGCGUGAACAGAAUGAGAACAUGGAUCCAUCAUGCCUUGUUACCACUGUGCAGGCUGGUGGUGGUGGUGUAAUGGUGUGGGGAAUGUUUUCUUGGCACACUUUAGGCCCCUUAGUGCCAAUUGGGCAUCGUUUAAAUGCCACGGCCUACCUGAGCAUUGUUUCUGACCAUGUCCAUCCCUUUAUGACCACCAUGUACCCAUCCUCUGAUGGCUACUUCCAGCAGGAUAAUGCACCAUGUCACAAAGCUCAAAUCAUUUCAAAUUGGUUUCUUGAACAUGACAAUGAGUUCACUGUACUGAAAUGGCCCCCACAGUCACCAGAUCUCAACCCAAUAGAGCAUUUUUGGGAUGUGGUGGAACGGGAGCGUCGUGCCCAGGAUGUGCAUCCCACAAAUCUCCCAUCAACUGCAAGAUGCUAUCCUAUCAAUAUGGGCCAACAUUUCUAAAGAAUCAAUCAAAUUUAUUGAUAAAGCCCUUUUUGCAACAGCAGUGGUCACAAAGUACUUUACAGAGACACCCGGCAUUAAACCCCAAGGAGCAAACAACAGUAGUGUUGAAUUUCAGUGGCUAGGAAAAACUCCCUAAGAAGGUCGAAUUUUAGGAAGAAACCUAGAAAGGACCCAGGCUCAGAGGGCCUUUCAGCACCUUGUUGAAUCAAUGCCACGUAGAAUUAAGGCAGUUCUGAAGGCGAAAGGGGGUCAAACACAGUAUUAGUAUGCUGUUCCUAAUAAUAUUUUAGAUGAGUGCAUUACAAAAGACUACACGCUGUCAUUGAUGCUAAAGGGGGCAAAACACAUUAUUAAGAAUUAAGGGUUCACAGACUUUUUUUUUUUGUUGCCAUGUUUUGUUUUAUGAUUUUGGCAUUCUGUUAUGACCUACAGUUGAAUGUGAAUCCCAAGAAAUAAAAGACAGUUGCUUUGCCUACUCACUCAUGUUUUCUUUACAAAUGAUGCAUAUAUUUCUAA